GGGGAUGCAGCUCAGUGGUAGAGCACUUGCCUAACAUGCAUGCGGCCCCAGGUUACAUCCCCA
rnacentral:tRNA from 1 species